rnacentral:rRNA from 1 species
AUACAUGCAGUCGAGCGGACCUUUUAAAGCUUGCUUUUGAAAGGUCAGCGGCGGACGGGUGAGUAACACGUGGGCAACCUGCCUGUAAGACUGGGAUAACUUCGGGAAACCGGAGCUAAUACCGGAUAAUAUAAGGAACCUCCUGGUUCUUUAUUGAAAGAUGGUUUCGGCUAUCACUUACAGAUGGGCCCGCGGCGCAUUAGCUAGUUGGUGAGGUAACGGCUCACCAAGGCGACGAUGCGUAGCCGACCUGAGAGGGUGAUCGGCCACACUGGGACUGAGACACGGCCCAGACUCCUACGGGAGGCAGCAGUAGGGAAUCUUCCACAAUGGACGAAAGUCUGAUGGAGCAACGCCGCGUGAGCGAUGAAGGCCUUCGGGUCGUAAAGCUCUGUUGUUAGGGAAGAACAAGUGCGAGAGUAACUGCUCGCACCUUGACGGUACCUAACCAGAAAGCCACGGCUAACUACGUGCCAGCAGCCGCGGUAAUACGUAGGUGGCAAGCGUUGUCCGGAAUUAUUGGGCGUAAAGCGCGCGCAGGUGGUCCUUUAAGUCUGAUGUGAAAGCCCACGGCUCAACCGUGGAGGGUCAUUGGAAACUGGGGGGACUUGAGUGCAGAAGAGGAAAGU